CACGUAGGGUGCGAGCGUUGUCCGGAAUUAUUGGGCGUAAAGAGCUCGUAGGCGGUGUGUCGCGUCGGCCGUGAAAACCUGCAGCUUAACUGUGGGCUUGCGGUCGAUACGGGCAUCACUGGAGUUCGGCAGGGGAGACUGGAAUUCCUGGUGUAGCGGUGAAAUGCGCAGAUAUCAGGAGGAACACCGGUGGCGAAGGCGGGUCUCGGGGCCGAUACUGACGCUGAGGAGCGAAAGCGUGGGGAGCGAACAGG
rnacentral:rRNA from 1 species